rnacentral:tRNA from 1 species
GGCGGAAUAGCUCAGUUGGCUAGAGCACACGGUUCAUACCCGUGGUGUCGAGGGUUCAAAUCCCCCUUCCGCUACCA